AGUCGAACGGUAACAUUUCUAGCUUGCUAGAAGAUGACGAGUGGCGGACGGGUGAGUAAUACUUAGGAACAUGCCUUGGGGUGGGGGAUAACUAUUGGAAACGAUAGCUAAUACCGCAUAACGUCUACGGACCAAAGGGGGCUUUUAUUAGCUCUCGCCUAAAGAGUGGCCUAAGCGAGAUUAGCUUGUUGGUGAGGUAAAGGCUCACCAAGGCGACGAUCUCUAGCUGUUCUGAGAGGAAGAUCAGCCACACUGGGACUGAGACACGGCCCAGACUCCUACGGGAGGCAGCAGUGGGGAAUAUUGCACAAUGGGCGCAAGCCUGAUGCAGCCAUGCCGCGUGUGUGAAGAAGGCCUUCGGGUUGUAAAGCACUUUCAGUUGUGAGGAAAAGUUGGUGGUUAAUACCCAUCAGCCGUGACGUUAGCAACAGAAGAAGCACCGGCUAACUCCGUGCCAGCAGCCGCGGUAAUACGGAGGGUGCGAGCGUUAAUCGGAAUUACUGGGCGUAAAGCGCACGCAGGCGGUCUGUUAAGCUAGAUGUGAAAGCCCCGCGCUCAACGUGGGAGGGUCAUUUAGAACUGGCAGACUAGAGUCUUGGAGAGGGGAGUGGAAUUCCAGGUGUAGCGGUGAAAUGCGUAGAUAUCUGGAGGAACAUCAGUGGCGAAGGCGACUCCCUGGCCAAAGACUGACGCUCAUGUGCGAAAGUGUGGGUAGCGAACAGGAUUAGAUACCCUGGUAGUCCACACCGUAAACGAUGUCUACUAGCUGUUUGUGGAUUUAAUCCGUGGUAGCGCAGCUAACGCUAUAAGUAGACCGCCUGGUGAGUACGGCCGCAAGGUUAAAACUCAAAUGAAUUGACGGGGGCCCGCACAAGCGGUGGAGCAUGUGGUUUAAUUCCAACGCGAGAACCUUACCUACACUUGACAUACAGAGAACUUACAGAGAUGGUUUGGUGCCUUCGGAACUCUGAUACUGUGCUGCAUGGCCUGUCGUCAGCUCGUGUUGUGAGAUGUGGGUAAGUCCCGCACGAGCGCACCCCUAUUCUUAGGUGCUAGCAGGUAUGCUGAAACUCUAAGGAACUGCCGUGGAUAACCGGAGAGUGGGGACGACGUCAGUCAUCAUGCCUUACGGUAGCUACCACGUGCCUCAUGGCGCAUACAGAGGUCUGCAAUCGGGAGUACGCAAUCCUUAAGGGCGGUCGAUUCGAAUGAACUGUCCACUCGACUCCUUGUAAGAACUCGG
rnacentral:rRNA from 1 species